UACUUAAUUAAUCAUGAUUACUCCUUAAUUAAUCUCAGAUUAAUUCUCAAUUAAACCAAGGUUAAUUCUUAAUUAAACCAAGAUUAAUCCAUAAUCAAAACCAUGAUUAUUUUAUGAUUAGUACUUGAGAACAAGUACUAAGAUUAGGAUUAACCUCACUUUAAAAUUAUUCUUUAAGUGUAAGUGUUUAGCAUGAGUAAACACAACACCAUUCUUAAAUAUUCAGACACUUUACUAAC
rnacentral:lncRNA from 1 species